GAUGAACGCUAGCGGGAGGCUUAAACACAUGCAAGGUCGAGGGGCAGCAUAGGGUAGCAAUACUCUGGAUGGCGACCGGCAAACGGGUGAGUAACGCGUAUGCAACUACCCUGUACAGGGGGAUAACCCGGAGAAAUUCGGACUAAUAUCCCGUAAUAAUAUCCGGAGGCAUCUUUGGAUAUUUAAAGUUCCGACGGUACGGGAUGGGCAUGCGUAACAUUAACUGGUUGGUAAGGUAACGGCUUACCAAGGCUAUGAUGUUUAGGGGUCCUGAGAGGGUGGUCCCCCACACUGGUACUGAGACACGGACCAGACUCCUACGGGAGGCAGCAGUGAGGAAUAUUGGUCAAUGGGCGCAAGCCUGAACCAGCCAUCCCGCGCGCAGGAAGACGGCCCUAUGGGUUGUAAACUGCUUUUCCAGGGAGAGAAACUUACGCACGUGUUGCGUGACUGACGGUACCCUGGGAAUAAGCAUCGGCUAACUCCGUGCCAGCAGCCGACGGUAAACAUACUCGUA
rnacentral:rRNA from 1 species